AUUGACAUGGAUAGAUUAAUAAUUAAAAAGAUUUGAAUAAAUUAUUUACAUCCCAAUGGUCCAAAACCAUUGAACCACUCGUCCUUUCGUCUCGUCUCUUCCCACAUAAAACAAGAACAACCACCAAAAAAACGAUGUGACAUAUACUUAUAAACAAACAAGACCACCAUUAUCAAUAAUCAAAGCUACAAAGACCAAAAGAAAGAAGAAGAAGCAUAAGGUUUUGUUUCUAUGAUCCUGAAAUGGGAUUGAAAGAGCAACAAAAUUGUCUGAGUCAUAGGAAGAUUAUAGUUUUCUUAGUCUUAGCUUUUAUACCAUUAGCUCUGUUUCGACUCUGUUUUAAUAAUCCUUUCUCCUCCACCAUUGAUGACACCUCUCUCCAAGACUCUUCAGCUCACGUUGUGAUCACCAGCUUCUCUUCUUCUUCUUCUCAAGGUAACAUCGAACUUAUCCAAUAUUGUUUGUGUGUAUGCAAACACAAUGGUUUUUAAACUUUAGAACUGUUGUCUAAAUCUGCAGAAGAAGAAACUCAAGAGAGCUUUGAUCGUGUAAAGGACGAACCUUUAUGCGAUUACACGCAAGGGAAAUGGGUCAGGGACGAGAUUGGUCCACUCUACAAUGGUUCGACCUGUGGAACAAUCAAGGAUGGUCAGAACUGUUUCCGCCAUGGUAGACCUGAUUCUGGUUAUCUUUAUUGGAAAUGGAAACCGAACCAAUGCGAUAUACCGAGAUUCGACGCUAACCGGUUUCUUGAUCUUAUGAGAGACAAGCAUCUAGCUUUCAUCGGCGACUCCAUGGCUAGAAACCAGCUUGAGUCUCUUAUGUGCUUGCUCUCUACCGUC
rnacentral:lncRNA from 1 species